AACAGGAUUAGAUACCCUGGUAGUCCACGCCGUAAACGAUGUCGACUUGGAGGUUGUGCCCUUGAGGCGUGGCUUCCGGAGCUAACGCGUUAAGUCGACCGCCUGGGGAGUACGGCCGCAAGGUUAAAACUCAAAUGAAUUGACGGGGGCCCGCACAAGCGGUGGAGCAUGUGGUUUAAUUCGAUGCAACGCGAAGAACCUUACCUACUCUUGACAUCCAGAGAACUUAGCAGAGAUGCUUUGGUGCCUUCGGGAACUCUGAGACAGGUGCUGCAUGGCUGUCGUCAGCUCGUGUUGUGAAAUGUUGGGUUAAGUCCCGCAACGAGCGCAACCCUUAUCCUUUGUUGCCAGCGGUUAGGCCGGGAACUCAAAGGAGACUGCCAGUGAUAAACUGGAGGAAGGUGGGGAUGACGUCAAGUCAUCAUGGCCCUUACGAGUAGGGCUACACACGUGCUACAAUGGCAUAUACAAAGAGAAGCGACCUCGCGAGAGCAAGCGGACCUCAUAAAGUAUGUCGUAG
rnacentral:rRNA from 1 species